CCCAAACACGUCUCCACCCUCGCUAGCGAUAACCAAUGAACCCAUCUAGACAGAGUGUUCAUGGUAACUGGCUUGUACGGUUGGUAUAAGACCAGCAGAUGUCCUGAAUGUGACAUUCUAAGUGUUGUCGUGAUCUCCAUGUAACAAAGUACCGCUUUAACUGCACAAAGACUGGGAAACCGUCGGUAACAGGGAACGAUACAGACGCGGAUAAGAUAUAGUUCUACGAGACACUGUAGAAAUUAUUCUUUCCGGUGAUACCGAAAAGACCGUCUACGUCGAACUCCAGUACAUCUGAUACCCGACGAAAAGACCUAAAAGUAACGUGACUCUGGCUAAUGGCUGACUGAGGGAUAGGACCGUGAUAUCUGACUAGCUCCAAAAGAACCAAAUCAAAGUCCCACACCAGUGAUACUUUGACGCAUGGUUCUGGACGGUUUGAUACCCACAGAAAAUGGCAUAUCAAAGGCUCUUGAUUGACCGGAGUGUCGUGAAUCGUGCUAUGCAUCGUCGAAAUUGCGGAACGUAGCCCGUUAAUGGAACGUUCCGAUCGGCCUGUAGUGAAAAGGUAUGAUAAAGAUCCAGCAUCGUGGAGAUAGGGGUAAUAAAAGGAUCGCAGUCCCUUCCCAUACUACAGCGAACUCAAGGUGUUCCAUGCGGAUAAGUUAUUUCGGGGGAAUACCUGGCGUCCAUGAGUCCCAUAGUAGGUCUCUAGUUGGUUGCGAUAGUCCCUUGACAUACCAGUCUCCCCUGGAAGACACCAAUCUACCAACUCCAGAUGCUCCUGCAUUCUCAAUGGAUGAUGUUCUCCUUUUGGAUCCGCCCGAAGGCAAGUUAAAA